AUCUAUUUGACGAGUCCUAAAUAGGACAAAACUCUCGUCAAACUAGAU
rnacentral:hammerhead_ribozyme from 1 species